rnacentral:misc_RNA from 1 species
CCCAGCAUCCGUGCUUCUUCCCUAG